CCUGGUGGCUAAGCUGGUAAAGAAUCUGCCUACAACGCAGAAGACCCAGGUUCAGUCCCUGGGUCAGGA
rnacentral:tRNA from 1 species